UACAGAGGUGGCAAGCGUUGUUCGGAAUUACUGGGCGUAAAGGGCGCGUAGGCGGUUCGUUAAGUCCUGUGUGAAAUCCCCCGGCUCAACUGGGGAACUGCACAGGAAACUAGCGGGCUUGAGUACGGUAGGGGAGCGGGGAAUUCCUAGUGUAGCGGUGAAAUGCGCAGAUAUUAGGAGGAACACCGGUGGCGAAGGCGCCGCUCUGGGCCGAAACUGACGCUGAGGAGCGAAAGCGUGGGGAGCGAACAGG
rnacentral:rRNA from 1 species